rnacentral:tRNA from 1 species
GUCCUCGUAGCUCAGCGGAAAGAGCAUCGGAUUACGGAUCCGAGGGCCGGGAGUUCGAAUCUCUCCGAGGACGC